UGUGAUGCUCUUCAAUCCCAUCAUUGACCCAAAGCCCCCUUCUGAGUUUCUGAAGGGGAGCAGUGCCAUCUGGUGGCAGACUGAGGCUGCACCAGGAGCAGGCCAAGCCAUGACUACAGUAGCGGUGCAUGUGGACUCCAAAGCUGAGCUCACUACCCUGCUGGAGCAGUGGGAAAAGGAACAUGGCAGUGGGCAGGACAUGGUACCUAUCCUUACCAGGAUGUCUGAAUUGAUUGAAAAAGAAACUGAAGAAUAUCGUAAGGGGGAUCCAGACCCAUUUGAUGACCGACAUCCUGGUCGAGCUGAUCCAGAGUGUAUGCUGGGCCACUUGCUGAGAAUACUCUUCAAGAAUGAUGAUUUCAUGAAUGCACUGGUGAAUGCAUAUGUGAUGACAAGCCGAGAGCCCCCUUUGAAUACUGCAGCUUGCAGACUUCUAUUGGACAUCAUGCCAGGGCUGGAAACUGCUGUUGUCUUUCAAGAAAAGGAGGGAAUUGUUGAGAAUCUUUUCAAAUGGGCCCGAGAGGCUGAUCAGCCAUUGAGGACGUAUUCUACUGGACUGUUAGGAGGUGCUAUGGAGAAUCAAGACAUUGCUGCCAACUAUAGAGAUGAGAAUUCACAGCUGGUGGCAAUAGUACUUCGAAGACUGAGGGAGCUACAACUUCAGGAAGUGGCUUUGCGGCAGGAAAACAAGCGUCCCAGCCCGCGAAAGCUCUCCUCUGAACCCCUUUUGCCUCUGGAUGAAGAAGCUGUGGAUAUGGACUAUGGCGACAUGGCUGUAGAUGUAGUGGAUGGUGAACAAGAGGAAGCCUCUGGGGACAUGGAGAUUUCCUUUCAUCUUGAUUCAGGCCACAAGACCAGUAGUAGAGUGAACUCAGCAGCCAAACCUGACGAGGGAGGAUUGAGGAAAAACAAGUCAGCAAAACAGGGUGACAGAGAGAGUUUUAGGAAAGCCAAGCAGAAGUUGGGUUUCUCAGCAUCUGAUCCAGAUCGUAUGUUUGUUGAGCUAUCUAAUAGCAGCUGGUCAGAAAUGUCCCCUUGGGUGAUUGGCACCAAUUAUACUCUUUAUCCUAUGACUCCUGCUAUUGAGCAGCGACUCAUUCUCCAGUAUUUGACCCCCCUAGGAGAAUAUCAGGAGUUACUUCCCAUAUUCAUGCAACUUGGAUCACGGGAAUUAAUGAUGUUCUAUAUUGACCUGAAACAGACUAAUGAUGUCCUGCUUACAUUUGAGGCGCUCAAGCACCUUGCAUCUCUCCUGCUCCAUAACAAGUUUGCCACAGAAUUUGUUGCGCAUGGUGGAGUACAGAAAUUACUGGAAAUUCCUCGUCCUUCUAUGGCUGCAACUGGUGUAUCCAUGUGCUUGUAUUACCUGUCCUACAACCAGGAUGCCAUGGAAAGAGUUUGUAUGCAUCCCCACAAUGUUCUGUCUGACGUGGUGAACUAUACUCUGUGGUUAAUGGAAUGUUCUCAUGCCUCAGGAUGCUGCCAUGCUACCAUGUUUUUCUCAAUUUGCUUCUCCUUUCGGGCUGUGUUGGAGCUCUUUGACCGCUAUGAUGGUCUUCGUCGUCUGGUGAAUUUGAUCAGUACUUUGGAGAUUCUAAAUUUGGAAGAUCAGGGUGCACUUCUGAGUGAUGAUGAAAUAUUUGCUAGCCGCCAAACUGGGAAACAUACCUGCAUGGCCUUGCGCAAGUACUUUGAGGCUCACCUGGCCAUUAAAUUGGAACAAGUAAAACAGUCACUUCAGAGGACUGAGGGUGGCAUUCUUGUCCAUCCUCAACCCCCAUACAAGGCGUGUUCAUAUACUCAUGAACAGAUUGUGGAAAUGAUGGAGUUUUUGAUAGAGUAUGGUCCAGCGCAGCUAUAUUGGGAACCAGCUGAAGUCUUCCUCAAACUUUCUUGUGUUCAACUCUUGUUGCAGCUUAUUUCUAUUGCCUGCAAUUGGAAGACCUAUUAUGCAAGGAAUGAUACUGUGCGCUUUGCUUUGGAUGUUCUGGCUAUUCUCACUGUUGUGCCAAAAAUCCAGCUGCAGUUGGCAGAAUCAGUGGAUGUGCUAGAUGAGGCUGGCUCCACCGUCUCCACUGUAGGUAUCAGCAUUAUUUUGGGAGUGGCUGAGGGUGAGUUCUUUAUCCAUGAUGCUGAAAUUCAGAAGUCAGCACUUCAGAUUAUCAUCAAUUGUGUUUGUGGCCCGGAUAACCGAAUUUCCAGUAUUGGCAAGUUUAUCUCUGGAACUCCUCGGAGAAAGCUGCCUCAGACUCCAAAAAGUAGCGAGCACACCCUGGCCAAGAUGUGGAAUGUGGUUCAGUCCAACAAUGGCAUCAAGGUGCUCCUGUCUUUAUUAUCCAUCAAGAUGCCCAUCACUGAUGCAGACCAGAUAAGGGCUCUGGCCUGCAAGGCCCUAGUGGGCCUUUCUCGAAGUAGCACUGUCCGGCAGAUCAUCAGCAAACUGCCCCUUUUCAGCAGCUGCCAGAUCCAGCAGUUGAUGAAGGAGCCUGUGCUGCAGGACAAGCGCAGUGAUCAUGUCAAGUUCUGCAAGUAUGCCGCUGAGCUCAUUGAACGAGUGUCAGGAAAGCCUCUUCUCAUUGGCACUGAUGUGUCUCUGGCACGACUGCAAAAAGCAGAUGUUGUUGCCCAGUCAAGGAUUUCCUUCCCUGAGAAAGAGCUGCUUCUGUUGAUACGUAACCAUCUCAUUUCUAAAGGGCUUGGGGAGACAGCAACCGUGCUGACGAAAGAGGCUGACUUGCCCAUGACUGCCGCUUCUCAUUCUUCUGCCUUCACCCCAGUCACUGCUGCUGCUUCUCCCGUCUCUCUUCCCCGAACACCUCGCAUCGCCAACGGCAUUGCAACUCGACUGGGCAGCCAUGCUUCUGUGGGUGCCACUGCCCCUCCUGCCCCCACUGCCCAUCCUCAGCCACGGCCCCCGCAAGGUUCACUAGCCUUGCCUGGCCCAUCUUACGCAGGCAAUUCCCCCUUGAUUGGUAGGAUCAGUUUUAUCAGAGAGAGGCCAUCACCCUGCAAUGGCAGGAAAAUCAGAGUGUUGCGGCAGAAGUCGGACCAUGGCGCCUAUAGCCAAAGCCCAGCCAUAAAAAAGCAGUUGGACAGACAUCUUCCUUCCCCACCUACGCUGGACAGUAUCAUCACAGAAUAUCUUAGAGAGCAGCAUGCUCGCUGCAAGAACCCAGUUGCCACCUGCCCACCUUUCUCCCUCUUUACUCCUCAUCAGUGUCCUGAGCCAAAACAGAGGCGGCAAGCGCCAAUAAACUUUACCUCAAGGCUAAACCGCAGGGCAUCAUUUCCAAAGUAUGGAGGGGUGGAUGGCGGAUGCUUUGAUAGGCACCUUAUCUUUAGCAGGUUCCGUCCUAUUUCAGUGUUCAGGGAAGCCAAUGAGGAUGAGAGUGGUUUCACUUGCUGUGCAUUCUCAGCACGGGAGCGGUUCCUGAUGCUUGGCACCUGCACUGGGCAGUUGAAGCUCUAUAAUGUGUUUAGUGGACAAGAGGAAGCCAGCUAUAACUGUCACAAUUCGGCUAUCACACAUCUUGAACCUUCCAGGGAUGGGUCCUUGCUGCUGACAUCUGCUACUUGGAGCCAGCCUCUGUCUGCACUUUGGGGAAUGAAAUCAGUAUUUGAUAUGAAGCAUUCCUUCACAGAAGAUCACUAUGUUGAGUUCAGUAAGCACUCUCAGGAUCGAGUCAUAGGUACAAAAGGAGACAUUGCCCACAUUUAUGAUAUUCAGACUGGCAACAAGCUGUUGACUCUGUUUAACCCAGAUCUUGCCAACAACUACAAGAGGAACUGUGCCACCUUUAAUCCUACAGAUGAUCUUGUCUUAAAUGAUGGCGUCCUCUGGGAUGUCCGCUCUGCACAAGCCAUCCACAAGUUUGACAAGUUCAACAUGAACAUCAGUGGCGUUUUCCAUCCAAAUGGGCUGGAGGUCAUCAUUAAUACUGAGAUUUGGGAUCUUCGCACUUUCCAUCUUUUACACACAGUUCCUGCUCUGGAUCAGUGUCGUGUUGUGUUCAACCACACGGGGACAGUGAUGUAUGGAGCUAUGUUGCAGGCAGAUGAUGAGGAUGACUUAAUGGAAGAGAGGAUGAAAAGCCCUUUUGGAUCAUCCUUCCGAACAUUUAAUGCAACUGACUACAAACCUAUAGCAACCAUUGAUGUGAAACGGAACAUCUUUGACCUGUGUACAGACACCAAAGACUGCUAUCUUGCUGUCAUUGAGAACCAAGGCAGCAUGGAUGCUCUGAACAUGGACACAGUAUGCAGGCUAUAUGAAGUGGGCAGGCAACGUUUGGCAGAGGAUGAGGAUGAAGAGGAGGACCAGGAAGAGGAAGAACAGGAGGAAGAAGAUGACGAUGAAGAUGAUGACGACACUGAUGAUCUAGAUGAGCUUGACACUGACCAGUUGCUGGAGGCGGAGUUGGAGGAGGAUGACAACAACGAGAACGCAGGGGAGGAUGGGGACAAUGACUUUUCUCCCUCUGACGAGGAGCUAGCGAACCUUCUAGAGGAGGGAGAGGAUGGGGAGGACGAGGACUCUGAUGCGGACGAGGAAGUGGAACUGAUCCUGGGGGACACGGACAGCUCUGACAACUCUGAUUUGGAAGAUGACAUCAUCUUAUCUCUGAAUGAAUGAGGGACCAUCAUCAUAUGGAAGACAUUCUUGACAGUGUGAUGGUCCCUUUCCCUGCAGCUCUAGCCAGCCAGUAGAGAAGAUGCCUUCUGGGAGAGGCAGUCCAGGAUGGCAAGAACACCUAUCCCUGAAGAGCGGACAAGUCAAGCGUUGAAGUGUCUUCUCCAGGUUUCCAUCUGGGAAUGCUAGGAGGUGUAGUAUUCUGGGUUCUGAGCACCCACUCUAUGAAGGAUCAGCCCAAAGAAGUUUGGGACUUAAGGGGCAAGGCACCUCUGGCCUGUGUGUGACCCAGGCAUUUCUCAAAGAUCUGCAGGAAGCCCUGUGAUGUGUCUUCAGGUCACCCCUACCUCGCUUGCUCUGAACAAGAUAAGGGCCACUCCUGGCACUAUGAGCUACCCCAGGAUGGUGGAGCUGUGGUCAGCUGCCCCCCCCCCCCCAUUGACUUGCUUAGACACCCUGCAGGUGUUACCACAGCUCAAGUACAGACAAAUAAACACAUUUAACACCUCCUUUGUUAAGGUUUUCUGUUGUGAACAUGCUUGUUCUCUCAUGAGUACCAGCUUUAGCCCAGUGAGCAGUACUUGCCCAGGCACCUUACCCUGUUCAUUUUAAAUCUCCAAGGUCCCUAAAAGCCACCUCCUUCAUUGUCCUUGUGGACAAGCAUGUAUUCUCCAUGCAGGAUACACUGAGCCUCAGCCUCCACUUCACAACUCUCUCAAAACAUCCGGCUGUCACCUGUGUUGCCUUGCCCCAGCUGGGGUAAUGGGCCAGGCCAGCAGAGUGGCAUGGCCCACAGAACCUAGAGUUCCUGGCCUUUGGGGGGUUCAUUUCUCUUACUGGGGCUUCUGCUGUCCCUCAGCUCUGACAAUGGGCCUUUUGGGACAUGGUGACAACUGCUGUAUGACUGGUUUCCCUCCCUGGUCUCCAAUGGUGCUGGCUUCAUUUGCCCUAUGACCUCACUAGAGACCAGGGAUGACAGCAUUAGUAAUUCUUUAAAGAGUCCCUCCCAGCUCAAGGAUGCCUCCACAUUGCCCCCUAGCUUGGGCAGUGCUAGUCAAAGCCAUUCAAGCCAACAAGCCAAAGCUUGGUACCUGUGACCGCAUUCCCCACAGAAGCACCUUUCUUCCAGUGGUUCCACCUCAGCAGCAGGGCAAGAGGCUGAGGCACUCUCUCUUACCUUGCACCUGAGAAACAGGUAAGCCAGUUAAGAGCAUCUUCCUAACCCAUCACGUUCCCUUGCAGCACUGCAAAAAUUCUUCGGUCUGGGGAUUCAGUGUCCCUCACAAAAGCUCUAGUUACUGGGCAGAGGCCUGUUCCUUUGACACAUCAGCCACGAAUAACCAAAGGAAGAACCAGAAUUCACAAACAUUGGGUCAAGUUCAAGAAUUAGCCCAGAGAAGCUUCCUCUCACCCUCCAUUCCAACAUUUGGCCUCUAGUGUCCCUGGGAGUUUGAGGCAGCUCGGUCUCCAACUGAGCAUUCCUGGGCUGCCACAUUAAGGCUGCGAGGCUGAACAAGAGGGGGAGCCUGCGUGGAUAUGUGAGAAUGAGGCCCCUUGGCA